rnacentral:rRNA from 1 species
GUGAGGAAUUUUCCGCAAUGGGCGAAAGCCUGACGGAGCAAUGUCGCGUGAAGGAUGAAGGCCUAUGGGUUGUAAACUUCUUUUCUCAGAAAAGAAUUAUGACGGUAUCUGAGGAAUAAGCAUCGGCUAACUCUGUGCCAGCAGCCGCGGUAAGACAGAGGAUGCAAGCGUUAUCCGGAAUGAUUGGGCGCAAAGCGUCUGUAGGUUGUUUAAAAAGUAUUCUGUCAAAGAUUAGGGCUUAACCCUAGAUAGGCAGAAUAAACUUUUAAGCUAGAGUUUGGUAGAGGCAGAGGGAAUUCCCGGUGGAGCGGUGAAAUGCGUAGAUAUCGGGAGGAACACCAAAGGCGAAGGCACUCUGCUGGGCCAAUACUAACACUGAGAGACGAAAGCGAGGGGAGCAAAUGGGAUUAGAAACCCCUGUAGUCC